GCAUGAGUGGCGUGUCCAGGGGCGUGGCCGCAGUGUGGGGGCGUGACCGCAGAAUAAGGGCGUGUCGGGGGGGCGGGCCCGCAGCGGCGCAGGCGCGGUUGCGCAAGGGGCGCGCGGCCUCCCCCGGCGCGAUGGCCGAGGAAAAAAUGGAGCUUGCCACUCCCCCAACAUCAAAGUGCAUUAUAUACUGGAAAAGAAAAGUCAAGUCUGAAUACAUGCGCCUCCGGCAGCUCAAGAGGUUCCAGGCGAACAUGGGAGCCAAGGCUCUGUUUGUGGCCAACUUCGCGAAGGUCCAUGAAAAGACUCAGAUUCUGAACGAGGACUGGAAGAAGCUGCGAGUGCAGCCGGUGCAGCUGAUGAAGCCGGUCAGCGGACACCCCUUCCUAAAGCAGUGCACCGUUGAGAGCAUUUUCCCGGGAUUUCCGAGCCAGACGCUGUACAUGAGGACCCUGAACACGGUGGCGCUGGUGCCCAUCAUGUACUCCUGGUCCCCUCUUCAGCAGAAUUUCAUGGUGGAGGAUGAAACCGUGCUGUGCAAUAUCCCUUACAUGGGAGACGAGGUGAAGGAAGAAGACGAAACUUUCAUUGAAGAGCUUAUUAACAACUAUGACGGGAAGGUUCACGGAGAGGAAGAAAUGAUUUCGGGGUCAGUCCUUAUCAGCGACGCCGUGUUCCUGGAGCUGGUGAACGCCCUCAAUCAGUACUCGGACGAGGAAGAGGAAGGACACAACGAUUCUGAGGGUAAACAGGAGGAUGGGAAAGAGGAGCUGCCGGUCACAAGGAAGAGAAAGCGAACCACAGCGGAAGGUAACAAGAAGUGUUCAAAGAAGCGGUUUCCAAAUGACAUGAUCUUCACUGCUAUUUCGUCGAUGUUUCCUGAAUACGGCUUCCCAGAGGAUAUGAAAGAAAGGUACCGGGAGCUGACGGAGGUGUCGGACCCCAACGUGCUGCCGCCGCAGUGCACCCCCAACAUCGACGGGCCGUGCGCCAAGUCGGUGCAGCGGGAGCAGUCCCUGCACUCCUUCCACACCCUCUUCUGCCGCCGCUGCUUCAAAUACGACUGUUUCCUGCAUCCUUUUCACGCCACUCCUAAUGUGUACAAACGGAAGAAUAGAGAGACCAAGAUCGAGCCGGAUCCUUGCGGAGCAGACUGUUUCCUCUGGCUGGAAGGAGCCAAGGAGUUCGCUGCACUGCACAACCCCAGGUCCAAGUGCUCGGGCCGGCGCCGCCGGAGGCACCAUGUGGUGGGAGCAUCCUGCUCGACCGCCCCGGCGUCCACCGUCACCGAGGCCAGGGAGGGUGACAGCGACCGAGACACCGGCAACGAGUGGGCCUCGAGCUCCUCGGAGGCCAACUCCCGCUGCCAGACCCCCACCAAGCAGAAGCUGAGCCCGGCCUCCUCGCAGCUCUUCGCGGUGGAGACGCCGCAGGAGCCCGUCGAGUGGACGGGAGCCGAGGAAUCGCUCUUCCGCGUCUUCCACGGGACCUACUUCAACAACUUCUGCUCCAUCGCCAGGCUGCUGGGCACCAAGACCUGCAAGCAGGUCUUUCAGUUUGCAGUGAAAGAAUCGCUUAUAACAAAACUGCCAACCAACGAGUUAAUGAAUCCAUCCCAGAAGAAGAAAAGGAAGCACAGGCUCUGGGCUGCGCACUGCAGGAAGAUUCAGCUGAAGAAAGAUAAUUCGCCUACCCAGGUGUACAACUACCAGCCCUGCGACCACCCCGAGCACCCUUGUGACAGCUCCUGCCCUUGCAUCAUGACUCAGAAUUUCUGUGAGAAGUUCUGCCAGUGCAACCCUGACUGUCAGAACCGCUUCCCCGGCUGCCGCUGCAAGACCCAGUGCAACACCAAGCAGUGCCCGUGUUAUCUCGCCGUGCGGGAGUGCGACCCGGACCUCUGCCUGACCUGCGGCGCUUCGGAGCACUGGGACUGCAAGGUGGUGUCCUGCAAGAACUGCAGCAUCCAGCGCGGGCUCAAAAAGCACUUGUUGCUGGCACCGUCGGAUGUGGCCGGCUGGGGGACGUUCAUCAAGGAGUCUGUGCAGAAGAACGAGUUCAUCUCUGAGUACUGCGGUGAGCACCUCAAGGCCUUUCCUGCCUUCUCCCUCUCCAGCUCAUCUCGCAGGAUGAAGCCGACCGGCGGGGGAAGGUCUAUGACAAGUACAUGUCCAGCUUCCUCUUCAACCUCAACAAUGAUUUUGUUGUCGACGCCACCCGCAAAGGAAAUAAAAUCCGCUUUGCCAAUCACUCAGUGAACCCCAAUUGCUAUGCCAAAGUCGUGAUGGUGAACGGAGACCACCGGAUCGGGAUCUUCGCCAAGAGGGCCAUCCAGGCGGGCGAGGAGCUCUUCUUUGAUUACAGGUACAGCCAGGCAGAUGCCCUGAAGUACGUCGGCAUAGAGAGGGAGACUGAUAUCAUCUAGGCUGUGCUGUGCCCAGCACACCUCGCUGCUGCACCUUAUAAGCGAUGCCAUGUUUGCUUCCCGCUGACAUGACUGCUGCUCUUCCCGUUGCUGUGUGUGUCAUGAGCGCUGCUUUUCCAUCCAGACGCCCAGAGAGGGGCUCGGGGCAGGACCGUGAGCGGCUGCUGCCGGGCCAGCAGCUUUUUCCAGCCCUGGGCUCCGGAUCCCGGCUCUGCAGGGAGCCCAUGGACCGAGGCAGCUGGGGCUUGAAGAAAAGUGAAUUCUCGGUGUUUUUCCAUCUUCUGCUGGUGGCUGGAAGAACAAGAACGAACGAGGUAUCGCCUGCAGACAGACCUGGGGGGCAGAGGGGCUGGUGCUCCCCUCCAGCCCUGUCCCCUGCGACAGGCUCUGCCCUCAGGUGCCACCUCUUGCUGCUUGUUUUGUCAUGUUGACAAGGACAGUGACAGGGUUGGAAGCCAUAGAGAGGUGGCCGCAGCGGUCCCCAGGCUGCUGUCACUGCCGUCCUGUUUCCCUUCUGCCCCAGCUGGCUGGGGGACAGAGACCCCCCGGCCAUGGCACGCUGGUGGGGCUGGGGACAGCAGCACUAUGCAAAAUGUCACUUUGGGUAGGGGACAGCGCUGAGCUGCUCAGAGAUGUGACGGGUGCUGCUGCAAAGCACAAGAGGAAUCCAGAGGCAGCAGGAGCCCUGGGGAAGCCCGUCCAGCCUUUCUGGUGGCCAUGGGGUGGCUGGGUGACUUGUGCCUGUCCCCAGCUGCUCCCCGGCCCUUUGUGCUGGUGUGUGGAUGGUUCUGCCAGGGAGUUUUUGGGGGGGAAUCUGGAGCUGCACCCAGAGCAGGAGACAGGCAGGUGCUUCCUGACCACACGGUACCAGAGCUGGUUCUUCCACCCUCCUCUGCCAGGACAGUCCCUUUGUGGGAAGUGUUGGGGACGUCAGGAAGGUCCCCGCAAAGCGAUAGAACCUGUUGUUGGUGUUGGGUGUUGCCGUGUGGAGGUUUGGACGGGGCCCAGUGAACCUGUCACUGUGGUGACCCAGGGACGGCUCCUCGGGGACCCGUGAGGGGCUUGUGGCACCGGCCCUGGGGAUAAAGGGGAAAUGUUCCCUGGCAGGGGGAGGUUUGGCCUUAGCACCCCAUGCAAAAAGAAAAAAGCACUUUAAUGAUUCUCAAGUGGCCCUGUGUUCCACUCCGGGGUUGGAGGGGCCACAGAGGGCUGGGGUCCCUUUGCAGGGAUGUUUUUGGAUGGGGGGCUCUUCCCUCAGGGUGACCUGAAAAGAUGGGGAUGUCCAUUAGAAGCCACGUAUGCUGCCCGCAGCCCCCCUGCUGUGGCACCGGGGGGGCAGGAGCCCCUCACCCCUUUUUGGGGGCCAGUGUUUGUCCAGGGAUCCUCCUCCUUUGGGGAACCACAGGCUGUCUGUCCGUCCGUCUGUCGUCCCUGCUGUCUGUGAUGCCCUCCCGGGGACUGGAGGCGUUUGGGUCUGUCUGGAGCGGUGCUUGUCCCCUGUCACCUCCGUCCCCCUCGCUCCCCCGACCCCACUCAGCGUCCUCUGCCACCUCGGCCGUAUCUGCACUAUGCCCAGCUUGUGUCUGUGGUUUGUUGACGGUUAAUAAUGCACUUUAACAUGGCUUGUAGCCUUUGUCACAAUAAAGUGGUAGCGAACGUC